UAUUUUUCUUUGUCGCAAAUGUUUUCGAUGCUUUUCCGUGACUCACUUGAUUUAACGGAAACUGAAUUAAAUGCUAUGAUGUGUGUAGAUUUCUCGUAUAAUUUUUUAUUUUUAUACGAAACUGGCUUUAUAAAGCCGGAAAGGGCUUCAAGACUUUGGCUAAUCGUCGAGUUACAGUUUGAUAUUGGUACAUGUUUUCUAUACGCAUGACUGCAACAAGAAAUGUUGUAUAGUCUUUGAGAUUAUGUUCAUGAUCAUCUGGAUAUGUUGCUAGCUUUUAGACGAAUUUUAGAUUGUCGUUUGCCUUUUUGGGACGAUUUUAGUGUGGCAUCGUAUUGCCUAAUUGUUUUUCUGCCUAUUUCUGCGAGAGUUUGCUUUGACGAAAGUGUUUUCUUGAUGACGAGGCAAAAUUUUUUGAAGUUUGGGAGUAUACGAGUAUAGUAUACGUACCUACUCCUUUUUUUUACGAAAGAAAACGGUUGAACCGAUAUUUUGAAGGGUUGUGUACGUUUCGUCUUCCGAGGAUUGGAAUGAUCGAUAAUCUGGGUUGAUUUAAAGACGACGCUGGGACUAUGAUUUGGUUGUUUUCAGGUUGACGCACUACAAGAAAUAUGAAUAUUGGUAGCAGUUCACGGUAGCACGAAUUCACCAACUGCUACUAAAAAGGUCAAAAGUCGGAUUGCAACUCUAUCGUAGCAUUAAAUCAACGCUAUGCAGUAUUCUCACUAAGCGGGAAGUCAAAAACCCAUUUUAGUACACACUUUUUUUUUGGUAACACUUUAAACCGCCAACACUUACGGAAAUUUUGAUUUUUGACACCAAAACUUUUUGUUUUUGGGAAUUUCUUUUUUUGAUAAGUCAUUUCUUCCUCUAGACAACAAAUUUUCGUUCAUUCAUGUCUAGAAAAAAAAUCAAUUCUUUUCAACUCGAUGAUCUCAAACCCAGAUUCGGCACAACUCCGGCGAGUUUCCCCACCUCUUCCGUUCUCAAUCCAGCUACGCUCCGACAAUCCCAAACCCUAUAUGUUCUCUCUGCUUCUGCGAAACCUUAGAUGUUGGAGGGGAAGAAGACCUGCUAGUCUUCAAUGGCAGAAGAGGAUAUAAGUUCACAAGGGAGCUUAUCUUGCUACCUCUGAGAUGGAAGACUGUAAACGUGAGGCUUAGCGGUGAGGACGGCGAGAUCGGCGACGCACAGUGGCGAAGGAUUGCUUAUGAAUCUGCGUCCUCAUUUGCGCUUUUGGAGAGUAGGAGAAACUCGAUUUCGAGUUUGUUUAAGAUGGAUAUGUGUCCUUCCCUGUAUCAGACUGAGUGGUGGGAAUGGAAUACAUCAAGGAUUGUGCAGUGUUUGAUUGAUGAAGCAUCUUGUUUUCAGUUACUUGGAGCCUCUUGCAGUUUCUCUGGUUAAAGAGAAAUGGUCACUUGUUCAACUACUCAUGUUGUCUUCAUAUUCUGGAUUCGGCACUUCCAGCUUGAAACAAGUUACUUGAGUUUGGUUAAAGUCACUAGAGAGUAGAAGAUUAGAAAAAGAUAAAGAGAAAUCUCCAGCACCUUGUGGAGGUCAUCUCCCUCCAUCUCCUGUAGUUGAUGCUAAGAAGUCCAUGUCUGCUGCUAAACUUGCAAAUCAGAUGAUGAAAAGGCAGUUGAUGCUUAAAAACAAUUUGGAUGCUUAUACCAAGAAUAGCAACAGCUCCUGAGGGGACCAAGUAACCAUGUUCAUGAUGAGUUAUGUGCAGGCUCCAAAAACCUCACAAUAUAAGAUGGCUACUGAGUUUCAAGACAGUACUUGAAAUCAGAUAUGAUGAAAGGCCAAAGUUUUGUCCAUUGGUUCUGAUUUGUUGUUGAUCCUUACCUGCAAAUUCUCAAGGGUUGUCCGUAUCUGGAGGUAAUUUGUUAAAUCUUGCUGAGGCAUUGGUUCGGAGAAGCAAGAGAAACUAUGAAAUUGAACUUGGUUUUUGUAUUCUUGUGAUGCUUUGCAGUCUCUGCAACUUAAUAUCCAAACUCAUUGUUGAGUUUGUCAACUGUCUUUUGCUUUGAGUUCAUGUUUUCAUGUAUUGACUUUGUAUGUUUAAAAAAUUUAAUGGUAAAUUACAUGCUAGUUUAUGAUUUACUUGUGUUUUAUUAGAAUAAUUUAUAUUUAUUAAUAUUAUUGCAAUAUACAUUAUCAAGGUUAUGUUUAAAAAUUAGAUUAUCAUUUAUAUUUAUAAAGUUAAUGAUAUUUUUAUUUCUCGAUCCUCCAAAACCCUAAACUUUAAAAACAAUUUCUAUAACUCAUUUGUAUUUUGUAAUUUUUUUUAAAAAAAAUCCAACCCUAAACCCUAUAUAUGUUUUAUACCCUAAACAUAAAUUUUAAAAUUCAAUAUUUUCAUAAUAUAGCUUCGACCUUAAAUUUAAGUUCAAAAUUUAAUCAUUUUAAAAAUAUAAUCUCAAAUUUAAAUUCUAAACCUCAAACACUAAAUCUUAAAUCUAUACCCUAAAUUUAAUACCCUAAACCCUAAACUUAAACCUUGCAUACAAAGUCAUAAAUCUAAUCUUUUCAAACUUAUAUAUAAACUUUAAACUUAAACUCCAGUUAUAUUCUAAAACUCAAACCAUACACUCAGCUAUAAAUCUAAACCCUUAACCCUAAACUACAUACCUCACACUAACCUAUAUCAUAAAGACAUAAACCAUAACUCCAUUUCAUAUAUCCCAAACAUCAAUAACAAAUUUAAAUUUUUAAAUUUUAAAUUUAAAGCUAAAAUUAAAAUUAAAUUUUUAAAUUUUAAAUUGUGAAACCUAAUUCUUUGAAUUAUGUCUUAAAAUAAUUUUUGUACAUUAAAAGUCACCACUAAUUGUUUUGUGUAUUAAAACAAAAAUAAAACAAGAAAUAGUUACAAAAGAUAUGAUUGGUCAAAGUAAAGUAACCAAUAAUGUGCAAGCACUAGAAUUACACUAUAUUUCAAUCACAAACGUUGAUUAAGAUACAUCUAAUGGACAAAAAUGCAUUGAAAAAGAAGUGUUUGUUUCUCUCUCUCGUCUCACCCGCGUAUCCUCUGAUUCUUUUCUUUCACUUUCUUUGUCUCCGUCUCUCAUCUUCUUCUCCAUCCCUCUAACAAAAUCUCUCUCAACCACCACCAUCACCUUAACCACAAACAAUAACCACAAACGAAUCUGUAUCUGAGACCCUCACGGCAUUGUUUGGAAGGGACCACACGAGAGAGACAACUACAGCGAUGCAGCCGAAGAAGACCAUGUCGAAGGAUGAGAGGAAGAAGAGGUGAAUCACGCAAUGGCUCCACCAAGUCACCUCCUAGAUUCUGAGAUACCCCAAAAACCUAAAUCAGAAACAGAUAAACAGAAGAUGAAGAAUAUCAGGAGACAGAGAGAAGGGACGAAGGCAGAGGAAUAAGAAGGUGAACAAGGCAUAGGAGCUUAAAGGAGAAGGAGGUAAGGCGAAAUCGUAGCUCUGUAGUGAUGGAGAUGGCGGCUAUGACAGCCAUGAAAGGAGGAGAGAGUAGCGGCUUAAAGUUAGGUUUUUGGAAAACUGGGUUACAUAGAUGGAUGUUGUGCGGCGGAGGAGGCAGAGCAGGGGAGGCAGUGCGGAGGAGGAGGUAGGUGCGAAAGAGUUAGGUUUUUUUUUCUAGAUUUAGUUUUUAAACCGGUUUGUAUGUAAACCGGUUUAAUUUGUAAAUCGACAAUAUUUGUAAUUGGGUUUACUUUAUAAACCGAAAUCAGUUGUAAACCAAUUUUUUAAUAUAAACCGAAAUAAUUUAUAAACCGGUUUAAUAUAUAUAUCGAAAUCAGUUGUAAACC